rnacentral:rRNA from 1 species
AUUGAACGCUGGCGGCAGGCCUAACACAUGCAAGUCGAACGAGUGGCGGAUGGGUGAGUAAUGUCUGGGAAACUGCCUGCUGGAGGGGGAUAACUACUGGAAACUGUAGACAAUACCUCAUACUACCAUAUGUUCCCUGAUGGGUUUAGCUUGUUGGUGGGGUAAGGGCUAACCAAGGCGACGUACCCUAGCUGGGCUGAGAGGAUGACCAGCCACACUGGAACUGUGACACGGUCCAGACUCCUACGGGGGGCAGCAGUGGGGAAUAUUGCAAAAUGGGCGCAAGCCGGAUGCAGCCAGGCCGCGGGUAUGAAGAAGGCCUUCGGGUUGUAAAGUACUUUCAGCAGGGAGGCGUUACCCGAAGAAGAAGCACCGGCUAACUCCGUGCCAGCAGCCGCGGUAAUAC